rnacentral:lncRNA from 1 species
CUGCAAUCCUCUGCCUCACCGUCCCCAGCUCUGAGCAAAGCAGAAACUUGAAGCAGACGCUGCUCCGCAAAAGUAGUGCCCCAAAAGAUGCUGUGGCAGGCGCCAUGGGCAAGGCUGUCUCCUUCUGGCCCUGCCAUCCUGCUGCUGGUGCUCUGUGGCAGCAUGAGCUCCCAGGACAUCUGCAGCUCCCCAGGUACUCGUGAGUCCUUCCCUCCCAGACCCAGGGCACUUGGAAGCCCAACCACUGUGAGCUCUGCCCUAUGGCAGCCCUUCACUGCUGUGUCUCCUCCAGGGGAUCUCCGAGCUCCUGCUCUCCAAAUGAACUCAACUUCUGCUCAGCCAGGUACCACAGUUGUGCUCCAGUGUAUUCUCCCUGUGGUGUCACAUGCAAGACGAAUCAUCUUCUGCAAGGAUGGGAUGGAGCUGUACAGUCUGAAAGCCCAUCAAAGGCAGCUGAGCUACUCCUUGGUCCUGAACAUCACGUCAAGAAGCACAGGAAAAUACACAUGUGGGUACCAGGAGUGGAAUGAGAUGAAACACAAGAGGAGCUCUGCCCUCAGUGCUGGCCGCAUCCUGAAUGUCCCUGGCAAUGUGGUGAGUUCUCCAGCAAGUCCAUCACCCUCAGCUCCAAAUUCCCGGAUCCCACACACCCUCGCCACAGCCAUGGCGCUGGCAUUGGCGGCCGUUGGCCUCGUCGUCCUGGCUGCAGGCAGCUGGUUUGCCAUUAGGAAAGGUGCCUGCAGAGGGAGAUAUCCAAGGCAGCAGCACGUUGACAGCCCACAGAUGGAAACCACAGACAACGGCGAAGUCACAUGUGAGUACUGCCUCCCUCGGGGGAAGCCAUAUACCUGUCUGUGGUGGAAUCCCAGCACUUCAUGUUCUACUGGGACAUACAAAAUCCCUGCCUGUUCAUCAAGGCCAGGUUUCUCUCCAGCACUUCAUGUCCUGCUUCUUCCUUGCAUGCAGAGCGCGGCUGCUGGCUGCACAAGGGACAUGGCAGCAUCCCAGUGCUCCCAGGGACAAAGCCCAUUUGCUUGGGGGUUCCUUCCAUACCAGCUCCGGCCUCAGGCAGCAUUUCCCCUGCUUCAGCCUCUGCUUUUGUCCUUUCUUCAGUUUCUCUUCAGUGUCAUUUCUGCUUCAAGAACAACACAAAGCACAUCACAGCAACGAAAGAUGUGGCUCUGUUUCCUUUCCUUGCUGGGGAAAAUAUUUUAGAUCUUGCUCUGAAAGCAUAGGCAGCAGCCAAGGGAGGAUGUUGUGGUUGGGCGUCAGGCUACAGAUAUAUACCUACCUGACAUGCACGUAGCUUGAGUUGCAGCAUGACCUUUUUUACCCACUCCUGCACAGCGCAUUUUGCAAGGUGUGCUGGCUGUGCAAAGAGAGGCGACGCCACAGAAAGCUGGAAAUACACCAAAACCUCAGCAUCUCUGCUCCACUGCUGCUUAAUGCGUAUCACAGAUCAGGGUGAUGGGAGGGGAAAUGUGGUCAGGCGUUGAGAGCUGACCUCAGGCAGCUGAUGUCCAAAGCUCAAGGGGGUUCACCCCCUUUCAAUCAGCAAGGGCUCAUGGUGUGUUUUUUCCCCACAGACUCAACCAUCGCUCAUGUUCGACGGGACAGGGUGAGUCGUGGCACAGCUGUGCACAGCUCCUUUCUGCACUCCUGCAGCCUGGUGCCCGGUCAUUGUGCAGGGCUCACAGUCAGCAGCUGAAGUAACAGGGUUUCUUUUCUCCCUAAAGCCUCGUCCUGUGCAGCACAUGAGCGACACCACGACGUAUGCCACGGUGACCCGAACUCAGACCCGAUAGCGCUGCCACAGGGCAAGGGCACAGGAGCCUUGACCACGGCUGCCUUUACUCUUUUGUAGGGGGCUCUUGAAGCCAUAUCAUGGGGCUGGGGGGUGCACUUUGGGGUUCUCUGGGGUUUUCUGUCACAGGAAAUGCUGUGUGUAUCUAGCCAAGAGGAUGAAGGACUCAUAUCUCAGUUUGCAAUAAAUUAAUACCUCUAAAAUAUAUCA